rnacentral:rRNA from 1 species
GACGAACGCUGGCGGCGUGCUUAACACAUGCAAGUCGAACGGAAAGGCCCUGCUUUUGUGGGGUGCUCGAGUGGCGAACGGGUGAGUAACACGUGAGUAACCUGCCCUUGACUUUGGGAUAACUUCAGGAAACUGGGGCUAAUACCGGAUAGGAGCUCCUGCUGCAUGGUGGGGGUUGGAAAGUUUCGGCGGUUGGGGAUGGACUCGCGGCUUAUCAGCUUGUUGGUGGGGUAGUGGCUUACCAAGGCUUUGACGGGUAGCCGGCCUGAGAGGGUGACCGGCCACAUUGGGACUGAGAUACGGCCCAGACUCCUACGGGAGGCAGCAGUGGGGAAUAUUGCACAAUGGGCGGAAGCCUGAUGCAGCAACGCCGCGUGCGGGAUGACGGCCUUCGGGUUGUAAACCGCUUUCGCCUGUGACGAAGCGUGAGUGACGGGAAUGGGUAAAGAAGCAGCGGCUAACUACGG